AUCAGCAUGGCUCAGGAGGUAGAGCGGUUGGUUUAGGAAUCAGUAGGUUCCUGGUUCGAUCCCUGACUCCUCCUGAGA